AUAUCUUUAUUCAAAAGAAAUAAUAUUUUCUAAAUAUUGUUUCGUACUUACUUUUCUGUCACAGAUAAACAUGAUGUCAUUCUAGAGGACAUGCUUCCUUUUUUGUGUCUGGAAAACUAGACAGAAUUAUAUGUAGUUAGGUCAAGAAUUGAUCGAUCUUUUCUCUCGAGAUAUAGGGCAUUCAUAAAAACGUCCCAGGCCCAAACAUGAUGUCAUAUAGAAGACUAAUUCACACACCUACAGCAUAAUGUAUGUUCUAUGGUCUUAAAUGUUUAUUAAGGUCACUCCGAAGUGUGGCUUAGGACUAACGACAAUGAAAAUUUGGGGAUCAAACGCCUACAUGUAAGGAUGACAAAUAGUGGGAGGUGGCUGUCAGAAAAUGAUGGGAUUUCCUUCAGGGCUCUGUCCCAGAAAAUCAUCAUCUCUACAAGAAGAGCCCCCCAGGGGACUGAGACCUCAAGGAGCCUCAAGAGCUUCCAGAGGAAGGACUAGAAAGAGGACAUCCAGAAAGAAGAAAGAGCUGGGCACAGGGGAAGAGGUGCCACAGCUCAUUACACACCCAGGGAAUCACAGCAUCCCCAAAUGGAAGGGCAAACUGGCCCCACCUCCAUCGCUAUCACUGUACUUUAGAAAUACACCUCCCAGCCAUGUCAAGCUGUUGGCUUUGUCCCACGUGUCCUCAC
rnacentral:lncRNA from 1 species